rnacentral:snRNA from 1 species
UCAAUUACCUAAGCGACACUGCGUAGAUCAUUAAGGAUGUGGUGUUAGGGUAAGAUCGGCAUUGCACAACGCUUGAUUGACCCCUACAACUUUGCACAAGGUGCUUAGUUGAGUUUAUAAUUUAUGUGUGAAGGGAUAGCGUUCGCGCAUCCCCAUU